rnacentral:rRNA from 1 species
GUGUCAGCAGCCGCGGUAAUACGGAGGGUGCAAGCAUUAAUCGGAUUUAUUGGGCGUAAAGUGUGCGUAGGCGGAAGUAUAAGUCAGAUGUGAAAUCCCGGGGCUCAACCUCGGAACUGCAUUUGAAACUAUACAUCUAGAGGAUAGGCGGAGAAAACGGAAUUCCACAAGUAGCGGUGAAAUGCGUAGAUAUGUGGAGGAACACCCGUGGCGAAGGCGGUUUUCUAGCUUAUACCUGACGCUCAGGCACGAAAGCAAGGGGAGCAAACAGGCUUAGAUACCCUGGUAGUCCUUGCCGUAAACGAUGCAUACUUGGUGUAACUGGACUCAACCCCAGUUGUGCCGUAGCUAACGCGAUAAGUAUGCCGCCUGGGGAGUACGCUCGCAAGGGUAAA